CUGCUAUCGGAUUGAUACUAAGCCAUGCGAGUCAUUGUAGCAAUACAAGGCAUACGGCUCAGUAACGCGUAGUCAACCUAACCUAUGGACGGGAAUAACCUCGGGAAACUGAGAAUAAUGCCCGAUAGAACAUUAUGCCUGGAAUGGUUUAUGUUCCAAAUGAUUUAUCGCCGUAGGAUGGGACUGCGGCCUAUCAGUUUGUUGGUGAGGUAAUGGCCCACCAAGACUAUUACAGGUACGGGCUCUGAGAGGAGUAGCCCGGAGAUGGGUACUGAGACACGGACCCAGGCCCUAUGGGGCGCAGCAGGCGAGAAAACUUUGCAAUGUGCGAAAGCACGACAAGGUUAAUCCGAGUGGUUUCUGCUAAAGGAACCUUUUGUCAGUCCUAGAAACACUGAUGAAUAAGGGGUGGGCAAGUUCUGGUGUCAGCCGCCGCGGUAAAACCAGCACCUCAAGUGGUCAGGAUGAUUAUUGGGCCUAAAGCAUCCGUAGCCGGCUCUGUAAGUUUUCGGUUAAAUCUGUACGCUCAACGUACAGGCUGCCGGGAAUACUGCAAAGCUAGGGAGUGGGAGAGGUAGACGGUACUCGGUAGGAAGGGGUAAAAUCCUUUGAUCUAUUGAUGACCACCUGUGGCGAAGGCGGUCUACCAGAACACGUCCGACGGUGAGGGAUGAAAGCUGGGGGAGCAAACCGGAUUAGAUACCCGGGUAGUCCCAGCUGUAAACCAUGCAAACUCAGUGAUGCAUUGGCUUGUGGCCGAUGCAGUGCUGCAGGGAAGCCGUUAAGUUUGCCGCCUGGGAAGUACGUACGCAAGUAUGAAACUUAAAGGAAUUGGCGGGGGAGCACCACAAGGGGUGAAGCCUGCGG
rnacentral:rRNA from 1 species